UGGGGAAUAUUGCACAAUGGGCGCAAGCCUGAUGCAGCCAUGCCGCGUGUGUGAAGAAGGCCUUCGGGUUGUAAAGCACUUUCAGCGAGGAGGAAGGUGGUGAACUUAAUACGUUCAUCAAUUGACGUUACUCGCAGAAGAAGCACCGGCUAACUCCGUGCCAGCAGCCGCGGUAAUACGGAGGGUGCAAGCGUUAAUCGGAAUUACUGGGCGUAAAGCGCACGCAGGCGGUUUGUUAAGUCAGAUGUGAAAUCCCCGGGCUCAACCUGGGAACUGCAUUUGAAACUGGCAAGCUAGAGUCUCGUAGAGGGGGGUAGAAUUCCAGGUGUAGCGGUGAAAUGCGUAGAGAUCUGGAGGAAUACCGGUGGCGAAGGCGGCCCCCCUGGACGAAGACUGACGCUCAGGUGCGAAAAGGCGUGGGGGAGCAAAACAGGAUUAGAUACCCUGGUAGUCCACGCUGUAAAACGAUGUCGAUUUUGGAGGUUGUGCCCUUGAGGCGUGGCUUCCGGAGCUAACGCGUUAAAUCGACCGCCUGGGGAGUACGGCCGCAAGGUU
rnacentral:rRNA from 1 species